UCCCGUAUUGUGUUGUAAUGCAAGCUGCAUUGAUUAUUGCAUUGUUCAUAGAAAGUCAUAUGUGUGACAAAAGCUUUUUCUCUAAUAAAAUAUUAGAUAAGUUAAAUCAUCUGUUGAUGUCUUUAAUGAUCAUCACAAGAGUAGAAAGUGAUUAGCAAACUCUGAGUAGCAAACACAGAUUUGCUACUGUGAUUUUCAAUAUAUAUUUUUGAAAAUCACGCAUGGAAUGUACAUAAAAUAAAUUGUUGCAUCGAUAAUCGUUUUAGAAUCAAAUCGUUGACCUCAUAAUCGGAAUCGAAUCGUGAGGUGCCAAGAGAUUCCUAAGCCUUGUGAUUAACAAUAAUUUCGUACAGGCCGGACUUUCUUGACACUAUUUUUAUAUGAUGAUUAGGGGUGAUUUUUUAUAAGAAAUUGCUUUCCUGCUGUAUGAUUGAAUCAACUUUUAUUAAAAACUUUUCUGCUUCAACAAUUUUCUGUCUAAAUUCUGUUAUGGGCGUCUUGAUAACUGCUUAUUACAGUGUACAACCAAUGUAAUUUCAAGUCAUUAUACUUUAAUUCUAUACUAGAAUUCCAAUAUGGUAAAUAAUAACUCAUAAUUCAAAUUCAUUUUUAUAUGUAUCAGGUCAUGUCAAAUUGUGUUUGAUUUCAAUUCCAGUUCCGCUUCUCCCCGAAUUGCAGUUCUCUUAUUUCCCACAACAACACCCAUUAGUCCCUUCUUUAAACUCAUCAUCGGGUGGUACUCACUACGUUGCUCAUCAUUCUGUGAAUGGAUGUCUCCGUAGGCCGUCACCCGACCCUCACAGACUCUACACGUAACUGUGCAGAACCGAAGCAAGAAUAAGCAGUGGCACGGCCCCCAUGGAAGUGCUGAAGAGGGGGUCGACGAGAAGGAGGGAAUGAGGAAGAGGAAGGAGGCGAUGAGGGGAAGGCUGGAGCUGGAAAAGGCCCGGCAGAGACGUGUAGAAACUGGAAAAAAGGAAGACGAUGGAGGAAAAAAAUCUAGGACUAUGGACGACACACCUUGAUGGUCACUCCACGUCUGGCCUCUUCCCUUCUUCCCUUCUUUCCUUGGUCCUCAGACUGUCUUCGACAUCACAUCCUCAGCAAAAUAGGAGACGGAUGAAGAUGGGGAGAAGAAACCUUUGUGGAGAAGCAUGGGAAACAGCACUUUGCUCACAGCGGAGAGUCCUGCUGAUCCGGUUUGUUACAGGCGCAUGGAACCAUGUAGAUGGUACAGAAAGUGUGUCCAGGUAGCAAUGAUUCUGCUGACUGUGGUGUGAUGAAUAUCAAAACGGUUGGCAAGAUCCCUGAGAGGCAGGCCCACAGACAGGUGUAUCAGAAACAGCAGUAAUUCAUCUACGGGUGCAAGUUUCUGUGAAAAUAAAAAAAUAACAAAGAAAUAACAAACUAGUCCUGGUUAUAGUUGCUUGACUUCUUAUAUAAAGAAAAAUAGGAUGUUAUUUAUUUAACUUACAAGUCUCGACUGCCAAAGCCUAUAGUCCUCAUCAGAGGUGUUGCUCAAGUAAAACAGCUGAUGAAAAACAAUCUCAUUUCUGAGUUGUAGCUCGACGAAUUAGCACAUCGAGGCACACAACAAUGUAGAGACGUUUUCUUCUCUUGCCGUUGAUAUAUUAACCACUUCUCCUUAAUCUUAAAAACACUCAUUUUCGCUAUCUAACUAUCUAACUAACUAUCUAACUGUCCACUUCUUCCUGCUUCUCCAUCACAACCGGAAACAGUCGUGCCCACCACGGAAAACCCGGAAGUUAAGAGACGCCAUCUUGUGCACCAGGCCAAUUGCAAAAGCCAGUGCUUGAUAUAAAGUGUAGGAAGAAAAUGUGACAUAUUAUAACGUCUCUAGGUUGUGUUGUGGGCAGUGUUGCCACAGUUACCUUAAAAAAGUCAGUACCUCUUGUAUACAGGGGCCCAGAAUUUGGUGCUACGGCCCUGGGUGCACACACUGAACACGGCUUUCAACCGCUUCCGCCAACUUUUAAUACGUAGACAAAAUAUCACCGCGUGUUUUACGGGGCAAUCACCGGACGAAUCUCCACGUGCGUUACGUAAACACUUGCCUCGGAUAGAUUGAAAUCUUUGGAGACUACGCUUCACACGCACUCUCACAUAAACAGGCAGACAGACAGACAGAAACAUAGACAGACACACACACACACCGCUCCAUCGCUCUCAACGCCAAUCGGUGAUCCGUUAAAAUAAAAGAAUAAAAAAUGGUAACGCAAAGUGACUUAGAUGAGUAACUUCAAUCUGAUUACUGGUUUGAAAAUAGUAACGUGUUAGAUUACUCGUUACUAAGUGGUCAAAAAAGUGGUCCGAGGCCAGUAACGCGUUACUGGCAUCACUGGUUGUGGGAGUUAUAUUUUGUUUAAUGUCGCUGUUGUGAUUGGGUUACCAUCAGAGCCGGAUUAAUGGACUACACUAGGCAGACUGUAUUUUUUGGGCCCGCCUCCAUCGAUAACCUAACUAACCCUAUCUCUAACCCUGACACUUACCAAAGUUAAUAAUAAAAGUUAAUUCACAUUUUACAUAGCGUAGUCUUUGGUUACAAGUUGGUUAUUUGUACGCCAAAAUAAGUCAUGUGUUGUAUACUAUCAGACUAUUUUUUUUUCUUUAUUACAUUGCUCUAUUAAAUGCUAUUAAAUUAUCCUUAUCUUA